CUGGAGGCAGCAGUGAGGAAUUUUGCGCAAUGGGGGAAACCCUGACGCAGCAACGCCAUGUGUGGGAUGAAGCAUUUCGGUGUGUAAACCACUGUCAGCAGGGAAUAAAAGGUCCUCACGGACAUUUGAAUGUACCUGCAAAGGAAGCCCCGGCUAACUUCGUGCCAGCAGCCGCGGUAAUACGAGGGGGGCAAGUGUUGUUCGGAAUCACUGGGCGUAAAGGGAGCGUAGGCGGGUUUUUAAGUUAGGUGUUUAAUCCCGGGGCCCAACCCCGGACCGGCACUUAAAACUGGGAAUCUUGAAUAGUGGAGAGGUCAGUGGAAUUGGGGGUGUAGCGGUGGAAUGCGUAGAGAUCCCCAAGAACACCAGUUGCGAAGGCGGCUGACUGGACACAUAUUGACGCUGAGGCUCGAAAGCAUGGGGAGCAAACAGGAUUAGAUACCCGGGUAGUCCG
rnacentral:rRNA from 1 species